rnacentral:rRNA from 1 species
GCGACCCCCAGGUCAGGCGGGACUA